UACGGAGGGUGCGAGCGUUGUCCGGAAUCACUGGGCGUAAAGGGCGCGUAGGCGGCCUGAUAAGUAGGGGGUGAAAUCCUGCGGCUUAACCGCAGGGCUGCCUUCUAAACUGUCAGGCUCGAGCACAGUAGAGGCAGGUGGAAUUCCCGGUGUAGAGGUGGAAUGCGUAGAGAUCGGGAAGAACAUCAGUGGCGAAGGCGGCCUGCUGGGCUGUUGCUGACGCUGAGGCGCGACAGCGUGGGGAGCAAACAGG
rnacentral:rRNA from 1 species